UAUGCACCCAAACCCAAAGGCCAUAUCAGUGUGAUAUGAUUUUGUCUGGCGUGCAAACAGGAAUUGAUCCUUGUCGCCUUUCUUGAGCUGCCGUGCCUCUGAAAGUGAAUCCAAGGAGCUACACAU